UACGUAGGGGGCAAGCGUUGUCCGGAAUCAUUGGGCGUAAAGAGCGUGUAGGCGGUCCGGUAAGUCGGUUGUGAAAGUCCAGGGCUCAACCCUGGGAUGCCGACCGAUACUGUCGGACUAGAGUUCGGAAGAGGCGAGUGGAAUUCCCGGUGUAGCGGUGAAAUGCGCAGAUAUCGGGAGGAACACCGGUGGCGAAGGCGGCUACCUGGACCGGUACUGACGCUGAGGCGCGAAAGCUAGGGUAGCAAACAGG
rnacentral:rRNA from 1 species